GUCUUUCCUUUCUCCUCCCGGUGGCUUCCCUGUUCCUGUCCCUGGCUUUCCUGGCUUUUUGGAUCCCCAUCCUGGCUCUGGGGGGAAGGAGGAUGGGUCUGGAGCACCUGUGAGACCCGAGCCUGGGCCCACCACAGCAGAGGAUGCAGCCUCCCAACCCCAAGAGUCCCAGAUUGGAGUCCCUGAGAGAAGCUGGGGUUCUCUCCUCUCAUUUGCUGGACAGACAAAGAGGGCCUGGAGACCUCCGAGGAUAUGGUGGUGACAGGGCCACUGAGGAGGGCAAGUCUGAGUCCCUGGAGCCCCGUUUAACCGGACAGAGGAUGACUUUCUUCUCUGGAGUGCUCUGGGUCACGCUUGGGGACACAUGAAGGAUACGCCCUCCCUUUCAGGCUCCCAUCGCACGUUGAACCUGGCUUGUGAACACAGCCCUCUGGGACACUACUAGGAACAAAGUGUUCCGGAUGCUGCAGAAGCUCAGCUGCCACCUGGAAAACCUGUUUGGCCACUUUAGGUCCAGAUGACGGGAGCCAGUCCGGCUCAGGAGAACAGAGCUGGCCCAGUAACACCUCGCUUCCUCCCUGCUGCAGAGACCUGGGAGGGCCCUGCCCAGCACAGCACACUGGAGUGGCCCUGCGGCAGCAUCUGGGCUGCUGUACCCAUGGUGCCUCCCAGCCCGAGGGGCUCCCGGCAGCUCUGGAGACUCCUGCUGUCACGUCACCUGGCCCCUCACCAUCACCAUCCUCAUCUCUCUUGGGUGGGUAUGUCCGCACCAUUCCUAGCCUCAUUUAUUUAUUUAUUUAUUUUUGAGACAGGGUCUUGCUCUGUCACCCAGGCUGGAGUGCAGUGGCACCAUCUCGGCUUACUGCAACCUCCGCCUCCAGGGGCUCAAGUGAUCCUUCCACCUUAGCCUCCUGAGUAGCUGGGACCACAGGUGCACACCACCAUGAGCAGCUAAUUGCAUUUUUGGUAGAGAUGGGGUUUCUCCAUGUUGCCCAUGGCUGGUCUCGAACACCUGAGCUCAAGUGAUCUGCCUCCCUUAGCCUCCCAAAGUGCUGGGAUUACAGGCGUGCACCACUGCACCUGGCCUCAUUUAAAGACUGAGAAAACCAGAUCCCAAGAAAUUUGCUCACUAUUGAGGAUAGCUGUCAGCAGACACCAGAUUUGGGCAUCGAGUUAGCAAGCUCUGGCCGUGUGCUUGAGUACUAGCCCAAAAAACAUCCCCAGAGUCAUUUGUAGAAUGAGUUCUUCUUACUUACCCUUAUUAAAAGACUUAAAUGUGCAUCAAUAGUUCCCACAAAAGCCUAGUGUUACUGUUUUAAAUACUGAGUUCGUGAGCCAGUCAAAGAUUGGGGCUUUCGCUGGUUCAUUAGCUUGUUUCAUGUUUGGAAGGAGACCCACGUUUAUGUCCAGAAUGUGAUAUUCUGUCUAUGUGCUGAUCUUAGUUUGGAAGUGGUUUGAAUAAAGCCAGAAAUGCCAGCAUAUUUAGUUAUGAAUCCUGGUUUGCAAAGGUGCUGACUUUGGUUGUCCACAAGAUCAUUGGCCCCAUAGCUUUACCUAACCGUCUUACACAACUGUGGUCUUCUCUGUGGGACUUAGAGGAACAUCUGAAGAGAGGAGCAAGAGUGGGUUGGUUGAUUACCGACAGGGCAGGGGCACAGUAUCCCAUUUGCAUACUCAUAUUCUGGAAGUCAAGGGGCCUCUAGAACAAAGAUGUUCAGUACUAAGCAAAGUGGGCGAGAAAUGAGGAAAAAAGGUGCAAUGUGCAGGGAGCAGGGCUGGGGCCACUGGCGGGAGAGGAGGCCUCCUGCUUCAGAACCCGGUCAUCCAAGUGCAACUCUUUAGAAUCCAAAACACGUGGAUGCAGGGUUGAUGGGUAAUUUACAGGUUUCGGCCAACAUGUGAGGGACUCUCCAGUGCUUUUGAGCUGGCCUGGGGCCCACGCUGCUGGCUGUGGGAGGCUGGCGUGUCAGAGGCAGAGCUAACCAGUUGCCUGCUUGGAUCCCCAGGCACUCAGAACAGGGCUGACCUUUUUUUGUGCAUGGCCUGGGUUUUGUGCUUCUGCACAGGUUUGGCCACACAGUCCAGGGGCUGACAAAGGGGACCCGGAGGGGCCACCAAAGACUCUAUGCCUGUGCUGAGGAUGGAGUUUAGGAAUCAUGGCUGGGCAUGGGCGGUGGCAAAGGGCUGGCCCCCACUUACCCUCACUGCAGGGCUGGGUUCUGUUGCCUGCGUCAGCGCUCACCGUGGGAGUGGGUCUCAAAGGGGCAUGCUGGAAAUUUGUGGGGGCAUUUUUUGGUGGAAACAGUUACCAUAGGGACUACUGGCUUUGUGGUCCAGGGCUGAGGACGCUCAAGGUUCUGCGAAGCAGAGAAAGCCCCACACAGACAGACGGCACUGUGGCUAGUGUCACUCCCUUGGCUUCUCAUUUGGGUGGCAGAUCUGUGUCUGGGGAUCUGGUCUGGUCCCAUGCCUGUGUUCUGUCAAUACCACCCACUUCUCUCAUGGCUGUGAUAGACACUGGAUUUCCCAACACUGCAGCUAUGGCAUAGACUAAGGGAGGAUCCAGACUUUGCUUUGCUCCAAGCUUUGCCAAGCUUUGUUCCUAAUUUCAGAAAACAGCCCUAGCGAAUGCUGGAAUUACCAAAGCAAGGUCCACUGUCUGGCGGAAUCCUCAGAAAUUUUACCUUAAUUUUACCUGAAUGCACGCAUCUGAGGACUUGAUUUGUCAUCUAGGGUAGUUGUGCCUAAACAUUUACUAUCAGAAUAGAUGUUAUUGUGUAUUAUAUCUAUGUCAGUUUUCUUUGUAUUACCAUUAAAGCAUUACAUAUAUGAUCUAUCUAUUUAUCUAUCAUCUAUCUGUUAUACCAUCUAUCAUCUAUCUAAUCUAUCUAUAUCAUCUUUAUUUCUCUAUCAUCUAUCUAUCCAUCUGUAACAUCAUCUAUCUAUCACUUAUAGACACAUUAUAUUAACCAGAAGUUUCAUUUCAGGACAGUACAGCGAAUGUUAAAAUUAUUCAUGAUCAAAGGGGCUGUUUGAUUCUAGCAUUCAUAUACAAGUUGCUGAUGGAAUGGCCCUAGAGCCCAGCCUCCCUCCACAGAGCCCCUGCCUUUGGAAAGAUGGUCUGACUGAGGCUCGCCAUGCCCUUGCUGCUUUGCUCUGCAGGGGCUGGGCCGGAUCCCCCAGAGCAGCGAGCCCUGGCUGUGUCUCUCCCCCUGUCAAACUUGCCUGGCGGUUUGUUGCUGAGUCUGUCGUGGCUGAGGCACCUGCUCCCUUCAGAGCAUCACACCCAGCCAGUUCCCGGAGGUGGCUGAGUGUUUGCUUUCAGGACAUUCAGUAGUACUGGGAAAUGUGUGUUGACACAGGAGAUAAGAAGGUCAGAUGGGAAGAGAGGAAGGAGGGCUGCCACUGCCCAGCAGGCAGCCAGGAGGCCUGUGGAUCCCAAGAUUGGGAUCGAUUCCUCGGGUUCAUCUCAAUAUUGUGGGAGGAAAACAUAAAGGAGCCCAGAGCCACUUGUUGAGGGCCCUGGAAACUGUCCAUAUGAAAUAGGCACCAACACUCAUCUGUGAACUCUUUGAAUAUGACAAGGGUAAAUUCCCAAUUUCCCUUUUCCAGGUAUAGAACGCUUAAAUGCAUUUUCCUGAAGCCCUUCUGCCUCCAUCUACUAGGAUGCCCUCCCACCUUCUCACAGAGGCUGCAUGGCUGUCACCUUUCCAUGUGGCAGCUGAGUUGGGUGUGGGGAUCCCCGUUUGAGAGGCAAAGCUUUUGAUGUGCACCAGG
rnacentral:lncRNA from 1 species